CCUUUACGGGAGGCAGCAGUGAGGAAUAUUGGACAAUGGGUGGAAGCCUGAUCCAGCCAUCCCGCGUGAAGGAUGGCGGUUCUAUGGAUUGUAAACUUCUUUUAUAUGGGGAUAAACCUACUCUCGUGAGGGUAGCUGAAGGUACCAUAUGAAUAAGCACCGGCUAACUCCGUGCCAGCAGCCGCGUAAUAAGG
rnacentral:rRNA from 1 species